AGACACCAAAUCUGCCAGUGCUUUGAUCUUGGACUUCCCAGCCUCCAGAACUGUGAUAGAUAAGUAAAUGUCUGUUCUUUAUAGACAAUAAUAUGGUCUAUAGUAGCCUAUAAGGACUAAGAAAAUGACCUUUUAUAUCUUUCUGAUAUUUGGAUUUACAAGUCUAUCUUGCUGAGAUCAUGAGUUUUAAAUGCUGGCAAAAUGAGUAAUUUUAUACUUUUAUUUUACAAAACCCUAAGGUAAGUAAGCUAAGAAUGAGUCCACAUAAGGAAAGACUAGUCAAAACGCACUCACAUGACAGACUUCUAGGUUUCAGGACACCACCUCUGCAAUUAGACAGUUCUACAACACAGAAGAACCAGGGGCUUUUUGUGAAAUGAUGGUCUUUACACAGUACAUUUUGGGCAAAGGCCACCGAGCAGCCCACUGCUACCUUUCCUUCCCUGAAUUCUUCAUGUCCCCUUCACAUAUUUGGUGCUGGGCCUUCGCCACACUUUUGCUGUUCUUUCCCUUUUCAUAUGCUGCCCUCCACUCCCUUGCACAGCACCCUGAAUACACAUGAAUACAAAGUAACCAUUCAUGGCUAAUACACAGGCUAUCAUAAGACAAUGCAUUUACAGAACCUUACUCUUUUUUUUCCAUGGUUCUCGUACACCAUCUCAACUGAUGCUAUGUGAGCUCCAACAGUCAUGACCUUCAUUUUCCACAGGAAAGAAACAGAGAACUAGGGGGGAGAUGCAAGAGGCGGCAAUGAAGAAAGAGGAAGAAAAUAUCCUCCAAGAGCUAAGAAAGAAACAUUGUGAAACACCGAACAGGGGAAGCCAAAGAGACAGACAACAGGAGAGAAAACCAGGUUAUAAGAGGAGGACCGGCCCCAGCAAGCCCAACAAGAAACUAGCAAGAGCUCUGAGCUCUGAAAACAUAAAAGACAAACAGGGAGGGGCGCCUAAGAGGCCCAGAAGGUUAAGCACAGCGGACUCUGGGUCUCAGCUCCGGUUCGAGCUCAGGAUCUGGACUUCAAGCCCCGUGUGGGGCUAUGUGUCAGGCUCCACGCUGGGCAUGAAGCCUACUUCCAAAAGACAAAAGGAAAACUGUUGUCAAAGAAUAUGGAGUGAAAUGGGAAAAUGUACACAACGUAUAUUAAAUAAAAAUGUGGUUAUCAGAAAAAAAAUUAAAAAAUAAAAUAAAAAGACGAAAGGACAGAAAGGGAGAAAGCAACUAUCAAUGAAGGAAUACCAAAGACCUCCCAGGACGUGAGCUUCCACAUUCCGGGAUAAGCAGAUGACCUGGCACUGCUAUUUUUCAUCCUAACCUCACGGUGCCGACUGGCUUCCCUUAUAGAGUACAGGCACUACACUGAUAAAAACAAAAGCACUUAAAAUGUGACCCCUUGCUGCCCGGAGAACAUACAGAAUUUAUUCUGACACCACCUUCGGAACAAUACCACUUGCAGGCUGAAGUCACACGCAAGCUCUCCCUUAACCUCUCCUUUUCAAGUCACACUAACUCUGCUUCCGUAAAUCUCCACAAGUGGGUCUUCUUAUUCAACUUUCAGUUUACGCAGUAGACUUCACAGCCUUCAGCCCUGUCUGUACUUGGAAAUGGAAUUCUCAUCAGAGUCUGAUCAGCACCAACAUUAAUCUUCAAGGAGGUGAUAAGAGAGCACUGGCUGUUAUACACCAUACACAUUCGGGAUUUUCACUGUGUCAUCCUCUAUCUUUGUCACAUGGUUUGGGCUGGCUGUGACACCAGAAGCAUUUCCUUUCACACUUCUACGUGCAUAAUUCGACUAUUUUCCACCUGUAUUUGGGUGUUUUUAUUUUUCUACCAACUGCUAUGCAUUCUCUAGGCCUCGGGUGCCCGUGUUUGUUACAGUCUCCCCAUCUCUGUCUCCCUCUUCAGCCCCGUAUUUUCUCCAUUUCCUGAGUGCUUACAUUUGCCAAGUGGAUGGUGCCUUUGAGGACGACUCCAGAGGCAGGGAGCAGACAGAACAAAGAAGGAAAAAUGGCAAGAGACGACAAGGGAUUAAACCGGGACCAUGUAACAGAGAUGUAGAGGGAAGCUUGUAGAACUCUUUAGGUUGUAAACCAGGCAAAACUGAACGGAGACUGUGGAGAACAUCAGGACCAUUCUCUGGCUCUCCAGUCUAGGUAGGAGGGUGAACAACAAAAGACCCAUCGAGAAAGAACAGUCUUUUAUCCACCGAGACAGACGACCGCACUCUUGAUCAGCAGCUGCAGUUAGCACCUCAGUCACAGUGCAAAAGCACCGGGCUUGGAGACAGGAGACUGAGUCUCAAACCCUCAACACUGACAUGACUUGGUCUGUUAAACCAGGGUGAUUCCCCGAAUGCUCUCUUAAGGUUCUGUUUACUCACCUGUGGGGGAACGGUGAAGGUACCGGCUAGGACAUCACAUACCGUGAGUCAGUGACCUCUCAGCCACCAAGCUUUCAGAACAGAGCUUUAUCCAGACCAAUCCGGGGCAACGUGGACGCCCGACGCGGAAGGAGGAGAACGGCGCUACGGCAACAUGCCUCCCUGGGCCUCACUCUGAACCUCCUGGGUUCUGAUUUUCCAUCAGCAGGAAUUCCUAACAACUUGGGUUUCACAAGCCAUGGAGAACAGAAAGCAAAAUCAUAAAGGGUGCAGGAGGAAUUAUCAGAGACACAUACAACAGCCAGGGAAACAACAGCUUAUUACCAAUCCAAGGAGGAAAAAAAAUUCAAAAGGAGGCGUAACGCUCAGCUAUUUCAUGUCAAGGUAGUGGUCCUGAGUCAUCAGAAAAAGAGAUUAAAUUACACUGAGUACCCUCUGAUUAAGAAAAUGUGCAGAAGAAGGUAGAAACUGUAUAACUUAUUUUAUAAAGAUUUCCAUCAAAAACAGUUAGAUUUAGAAGAUUUUAGUCCUUGAAGGUGUAAGAUUCAGUUACCUGGAAAACUAAUUUAUGAUCAGUUACCUGGAAAAUUCCAUCUUAUUCUGGAAAAUGACCAGAUAAAUGGGGUGUCACUGAAUGUGCUACUUCGGUACAAAUAAAUGAAUCAAGCUUAAAA